GCCUGGGUGGCUCAGUCGGUUGAGCAUCUGACUUCGGCUCAGGUCAUGAUCUCACGGUGUGAGUUUGAGCCCCGUGUCGGGCU
rnacentral:tRNA from 1 species